rnacentral:rRNA from 1 species
AGAGUGAACGCUGGCGGCAGGCCUAAUACAUGCAAGUCGAACGGCAGCACAGCAGAGCUUGCUCUGUGGGUGGCGAGUGGCGGACGGGUGAGGAAUACAUGGGAAUCUGCCCAGUCGUGGGGGAUAACGUAGGGAAACUUACGCUAAUACCGCAUGCGCCCUUCGGGGGAAAGCCGGGACCUUCGGGCCUGGCGCGAUUGGAUGAGCCCAUGUCGGAUUAGCUAGUGCGGGUAAGCCACAAGCGACGAUCCGUAGCUGGUCUGAGAGGAUGAUCAGCCACACUGGAACUGAGUACAUGGUACCAGACUCCUAACGGGAGGCAGCAAGUAGGGAAUAUUGGACAAUGGGCGCAAGCCUGAUCCAGCCAUGCCGCGUGUGUGGAAGAAGGCCUUACGGGUUAGUAAAGGCUACGUUUAGUUACCGGAAAACGAAAAG